rnacentral:lncRNA from 1 species
UUUUUUUAUUUUUUUUUUUUUGUUUGCCCUUUUCAACGUUUCUUUUCCAGUGCGUCCUACUCCUUAAUUUGGAAAUAUUACAUAAUACGACGUCGCGAAGGGCCGCCGACACACUCGUCAUGGUAGUGUCUAUUACUGUGAGUGAAAAAAAAAAAGCGAAAAAGAAAAUGUACGGAGAGUUGUGUGAUAAAUGUCAUCCAUUCUCAAAGACAUCACUUUAUUGAUUUCUUAAUCUUUGUUUAUCCUACUUCACUUUGAUUAUUCAUAAUUACAGCACAAACUAAUUUUAUUUGAAUUGUACUUGACUACUUUUAAUGUUUUCCGGAAGUACAUAUACUGGGUUUGGAAAUUGGUAUGCCUCACAUAUUUAGAAAAGUUGCUGUGUUUGGACAGUCAUUUUCCGUGGAAAAAUUGCUACGUUUUUCAUGCAUACAUUUUCUUAUCACUUUUUUACCUCACAUACAUCAAAUUGUUACAGUAAUUUUUCUACAAAAAAUCUAGAAAAAUGCAAUCUAGGACUAAGUGAAUUAAGUGAUGAAGAUGAAAACCAAGAUCAUCCACUCUAUAGCUACUCUUUAGUGAUUUCGCUUUGCGUAGUAUAACAAAAUGGUGUUAGUUUAAUACAAGUAGUUAUUUGAAGGUUUGCCCUAAGUAUCUUUAACAUUUUUUCUAUCCGAUAUGUAUAGAGUGUGUUUGGAUUGCAAAUUUAUCUCAAAUAAUAUUUCGCUUGCAUCAUAAACACAUUUCCCAAUCCACAUUUUUAUAUUCCCAAUUACUUUUUAUCUCACAUACAUCACAUCACAAAAAGUGCUACAAAAAUUAUUUCAAAUAACUUUCUUUUUGUCGAGGCGCAUUUGAUAAAAUUAUGAAAUUUGAAAUUUGAAUAUAUUAUGUUAAUGAAUUGUUAAGUAUUAAAAUUUUAAUAUUUGAGCAUGUUUUACAUUAAAUGAUAAGUGAAUAGUUUAUCACUUAUUUUUUGGAAUAUGUUUUGUUUAGGAAAUUCAAUGCUACUUAGGGUGCAUUUGAUAAAAUUAAAAUUCGAAAAAUAUGAAAUAUGAAAUCUGAAAACUGAAUCCAUUAAAUUAUUGAAUUGUUGAAUACUAAAUUUGAUACACUUGAGUAUGCAUCGCGUUAAGUGAUAAGUAAAUAAUUUAUCACUUAUUUUUUUUGGGUAAGUUUUGUUUAGAAAUUCAGUGUCAUUUAUUUAAUUUAUAUGAUCAUUUAUUGUUAGAGGAAACUUUCUCGACAACCCCUAUACUAUUGCCUUUGUACGAUUUUGGCUCCUUAACUAUAAAUUGUCGCAAAUAAGUUGUUGAACCAAAAAAGAAAAUUAGUUUAAGGACUUCCAUCAAUUUUGGCCAUUAAAGGUGACAAAGUUAGGGGCAAAACUAACCAAACAAAUAAAUCAACCCAGGAAAAGAGCCUAAAAAGGCCUCAUUGACUAAUUAUUUCAUCAUAUGAGGGUUAAAGAAGGUGGAAGACGAUAGAAGAGAACAAAAAUUGAACUCCAUGUUAUUAGUUGACUCAAUAUAGUCGGUGUUUAAUCAAAUCGUGGGUUGAUUUUUGCCCCAAAUUCCGUUACAUUUAACCCCAAAAUUAACGAAAAUCCUUAAAUUAAGCAUUUUUUUGUUCAAGGACUUAUUUGUAAUAAUUUAUAAUUGAGGGGUCAAAACUAUACAAAGUGAAUAGUUUAAAGGCUUGCCAGAAAGUUUUCUCCUUUUGUUAUCAAACGCUUUUGACUCGUUAAGAUCUAAAUCCAAUAAAUUUAAGUGUUAAAUUCAAUUAUCAAACAAGGCCUUAAUUAAUUCAAAUAUUUUAUUUUUAAUUAUCAAAUGCAUCUCAACGUAUUAAGUAUUGAUAUGACUCCUUUAUUUAAACUAGCACUAAUAAUUGAAUAAAAUAAACCUUAUGGUUUUGACAUCCGUAGUCGUUUCAACCCGCUUCAUUGUCAUUCUUUUAAAUAUGAAAUUGACUUCACUGUCCCUACUUAUCCUAGGUUACAAAAAAUUGUCAUUCCAUAUGUAUGUUUGUAAAACGUCUUUUAAUGUUCUACUAUGUAUUAAUACACAUAAUAUGCCAUGAUGACCUUUUGACCCCCAAAAAAAAAUACAACAGAAGAAAUAUGCCUCUUACGGUUCUCUCCAGGUAGUACCAAUAAAAAACUAUCAAUAGAAGAAAUUAGGACCGACAAGAAACACACGCGACAAGAGUGAGAGUGCAUAAAAUAUCUAUGAUUACUCCACGUUUUAAGGCUACAAGGUUCUGUUUAUGCUGCAUAGCACAAGCACGAGCUAACAUUGCCCCAAACCAGAUAUUGGACAAUAUGCAUAGACUUUGUGAGACAUAUAUAGGCAUCCAUUUUAUCAAAACAAUCUUCCCAAAUCUUAACUCCAGAAAAUUGGAUCCAUUACUGCAAAAGUAUAGCCACAUCCAAGUAAUCUCCUAUCUGCAGAUGAAAAACAGUCCAGUUAAAGAAGCUUUCAACUACAGCAGAAACUAUGCAUCCUUGCAGGACAUCAUUUACCUGAAAUUUAAGUUCACCUAAGGCCCUGCUGCCAUCGUCCGCCCGCCUGGCAUUUGGGUACGAAUAGGUUCUGCCCACCUUCAACACAAGAAGCAAGGAGCACAAUUUAGAAGUAAACAUGGUAGAGCACAGAUAACUGUAACUACAAGCCGUUUGGUUGUUUACGUGCAUAUAUAACUGUGAUAGCAUGGGCACAACAAUCUUGGUAUAGUAUGCUGCAUCUCUUGAACAGAAAAGGUUGGACAGACACAGCCCGCAUCAAAUUGAAAUAAUAAGAGUAUCGAAUUCGAGAAAACACAUCUUAAUCACGUUCAGAUUACUUCAGUAAAGAUCAGCGCUGACCUAGUUUUGUCCAACAGAUUACAAUUAUGGCAAUCAUAUUAAUAGCUUCCAUGUUUUGACAGGAAAAUUGCAGGAUAACUUAACCAUCUGAGUCAAAUACAUGAAUUGCAACCUGAACCAUCUGAGCUAAAACAUGAACCAAAUGCUCAAAAGACCAGCACCAACAAAAAAUUUGGAAGUAAUGCAGUACAAUUAUCUAGCUCGCAAAUUAAAAAAGAAGCCUCGCCAAGUAUGAGGCCAAUGAGAAUUCCAAUUUUGUCUGUUAAUAUGUGCUAACAGGAAACAAAUGCUGCAGUCUACUGACCAUUUGAUUUGCAAACACUCUGACAAGCAGCAAAUUACAUGAUGACACCCAAUCUUUGAAGUAACUUUUAACCAUUAGAAAAACAGAAGUGGUUCAAACCAAAAGGAACAAGUAUGAAUCAAAUAAAGUUUCAAAGGCAGCAGAAUAUUAAAGACCAUUUGGCAGACAAACAUUAAGAACUCAAACCCCUUUAGUUACUCUAAAUUCCAUGGGCUAUACAAGAAUGAGAGAGAGAGAGAACAGGAUACCUCACGAACAACAAAGCGACCACGGCUAUUAGGAAACACAAAAGCAAAUGACAGCGUUGCAUCUCUUCUUCUUGCUUCGGGUGCUACUUCUUUUACCUAGAAAACAAUUGUAGUCAACAAAAGGACAUGGGAAGGAAUUAUGCCUUCACAUAGUAUAAAGAAAGUCAAGUAUUCUUGUACCAGAUCUGUCAAUUCCCGCAGAGUUGCGUCCAUCCAUGUAUAGAUUUGAACCUCAUCCUUGGGUUCCUUCCCUCUCACAGCAAAAUCCACCUCGUUAUGAUGUCCUCCAAUCUGUAGAUGUCAACAUUGAAUUGAAGCUUACGUAUUCCAUGGCCAUAAGCAAACAAUGGUACAACUCAGGUGCAACUGUUCUAGACCCAAAAAUGGAGACUUCACAUAUUUUAGCAUUCUCUCUUCUUUUUAUUUACAUUUUCCUUUUCUUCACCAUUAAACAACAGCAAAAAGAACCUAGAAGAUAAAUCUGCCUCCUCUGCAACAGCUUAUCUGACUUCCAAAGGUCAAUAUUUCCCCAACCAAAACCAUUUUCUGGAAGAAAAUGGUAGACAAAUAGCUUUAGGUUUGUUAACUAGAUUCAUAGGACUCAAAGUCAGUGAUUUAUACAUAAAAGAAUUAUAUGCAAACAAUUGUAUCACUAGUUAUUGGAACAUUCUUAACCAGAUUAUAAACUGAGAUCACAAUGAACCAUAUAUGGAGUAGAAGAAUGUCUUAUUUUUGUAUAACUUUUAUGCAUCAAUGAAUUACUUGUCUACAUAAUUUUUUCAUCAAUACUACUCUAAGCCUUAAAGUAUUUCCCACCAUAAACUCUUAUUUGGUAUAAAAAGUUUGUUAUUUAACAUUCAUUUAGCAUGCUCCACAGCAAUGAUUACAUUUGGAUCAUAGCUCACAAAUUGCUUUUCAAUAGUGUAAAUAUAACCACUCAGCUAAAGAACUCAUUAAAAAAAAACCACUUUAAACCACUUUAAAAUGAGUGAAAGGGACUUCUUGACAAGGAAAGAAUAUACAUACAUGAAAAGAACUGCCAAGGAAAUGUCUAUGUAUUCAACCUAUAUCCGCUUCUUUUGAAUAGACUAUUUCAAACUCAAAACAUUUUUCCCUGCAUAUCUUUCUUCCCUGAAGACUCAUUUUCAUUUCUAAUCCAGGAUCUUCCUUUUCUUCAGCUUAGACAUAACCUUCUUACUUUAUCCUCGUAAAUUCUUGCAGUUCAUACUUUAUCCUGUUAAAUUCUUGCAAAAAUAUGACGUAAUACAUAGGUAAGAUUUAACAACAGGCCACCAAAUUUGGCUCUAAAAGCAGAGGAAGCAAUAAAGAUACUAAGAGUAGCAAUACUCAAAGACCAUAGGGUAUCUGUCCAAUGGGAAACUCUUAACUAAGUGAAGCACACAUGACAAAUUCUCACAAAUGCAAAGGAAUGGCAAAAAUCUUAUAAUUUCAACCAAUUUUUAGUAUUUAUGAUGCCAAUGAAAUAUUACAUGCACAAGCAUCUCUUUGAUUUCCUUUUUCUUGAGAUUGAAAAGUUCCAUACACCAUGGCUCCCAAGAUAUGAUUUUCCAAGUACAUUAGUUCACUACAAGAGAAAGUGAGCAGCAAGUAAUUGCUAACUGAUUACUGCUUUAUACAGGAACCAAUUGUUUGAACAAGAAUGCUAAGAACACCUAGGCCAAAUAAAAAAGAUUAAAAAAAAAAGGUACACAUCAUCAAAAAAGAAAAAAUGAAAUGCAAACAAAAAUCUUGAGAGUUAAAAGCAUACCUUGGUGAAAACACGAAGCAGUAAAGGACAUGUCUGGUCACAAAAGAAAUAUUAAUCAGUUUGGGAUAACAUAGUGAAAUUUUAAGAAGAAAAUAGCCAGCAGCGGUCCAACAAAUAAAAACUGGAGGUUGGAAAGCAAUGAAGAAAGUACUUCACAUUAUACAUUAUAACCAUCGGAGAGGAAAUAUAUUCGCAUUCUUUACAACACAAGAACUAGAUAAUUUUCUUCCAUCAAUUCCAUGCACUUGAAUAGAAAUUUGGAAUAUCCCUCCUUUCUAAACCCAAAUUUCCAUGACAGAAAUUUCUAAAAAAGUACCCUAAAAAAAAUAAAAGAUUAAAAUUUAAAAGUAAUUAUAUUCUUUACUUCUUCCACCAACAAGCGUUUCAAUGGUACACACAAUGUCGCUGUAAUAAAAUAAUACCAAUCCUUAGUUCUAAAACCAUAAUUCCCAAAACCCUAGAGAGUUCUGAAUGUAGAGACAAAACGAUAGUAAAAGAGAAAAAGCGGCAACCUUCUCUCGAUCGACCGGUACGAAGCGAGGGGCAACCUUGGCAGUGGGUGGCGGUGGAGGUGGACCUCUAGCCGAUGGGGGCAACGGUCUUCCCCCUCCUCCUCCUCCUCCCCCUCCCCUUCUCUGCACUUCAGCCAUUGGAGCUCUCUCUGUCUUCUCUUGUACAAACAAUCAAGAAAAUACUACGGACUUCUUGCUUCUAAGUUGGUGUAGCUUAUAUGGGUUAAUGUGCUCGGCCCAUCUGAGCUAGUGAGAAUCUCAGAGCCGAAUUGGUUCCUUGGCCCACUUUGUUAGACAAGGUCCAUUUGCAAUGUGAAUAACAUUUCUUCUAGCUCUGACUUGAAUAAUCAUAUAUUCGUGAAUUAUAGGCUGUUUUAAAUUAAUCAAUGCUUCUUCAAAAAAAAAAAAAUUUUAAUCAAUGUCCAACAAGAUUUUGGGCUUGGUCUAAAUGGAUUAUUUUAACUUAUUAUAAAUUCUAAUUUUGGAUAAUAUGUUUUUGUGAUGUUCUCAAUUAUUUUUAUAUUCUGAUUAUAAAUUUUUAUUAAUAACAAACUAAAAUCUAUAAUCACAUAAAAAGUAACUCUUGCUGAUUUUGAUUAUUCACUAGAAUCCGUUUCUAUAAUCAAAUUUUGUAAAAUUUAAAGCAACCGAAAACUAAACUUUUGUAUUCACUAGCUCUUUAAAUAGCUUGGAUAUUGGAACCUAGCGCAUCAAUUACAAGGAUUAUCACUAUUCAUUUUUUUUUAUCAAUUAAUGUUUAUUUAGUCUGGUUCCUUCGCAUACAAAUCUAGUGUUUGGAUACAAAACACAGACUUAAACACGAACUCACAUAAAUUUCUUCUUCUUUUUCUUUUUGGCCCUAGAAAUAAGUACUAAAGGUUUGGUGUUGGGCGGACAGGCAGAAAUUACAAACCAGUGCAAUUCAAGUACCGGAGAAGGCACUCUUACAAUAUGGAUUAUAACUCGAGUAUUUUCCCCGACGUAUGUUGUCACAGUUGAUAAAGAUGAAUCACUUUCUUACAAAAAAGUAAUAGUAUAUUCAAAUCUCAAUGUUGAUGUAAGAAUUAUGAUGAGAGUUAUAACAGUAGAUAAUCUAUUAGUAUGCCUAAUUAAGUGAGUUAUGAUCCUGAGUGUAUGUUAUAAUGGUGGAUAAUCUGUUAGUAUCCCCAAGUGAGCUAUGGUCGCGAGUGUAUGUCUAAAGUUAUAAUGACAAUUACGAUGGUGGAUACCACCCGUCCAAAAGUUAGUGGCCAUCACCAAUGCAUUAAGGCUUGGUGGGAUGGGAGGUAAUCCUGAACCUUACCUCCCAUCAAUUUGUCACAAUUAAAUGUGACUUUAUUUAAAAAAUUCAGGCGGUGUGCGUAGUGCACCCGUCUGGUCCGGUGGUGAUUCAAUCCUCUCCGGAUUAUUUUAGGAUCUCUUCAGGCUCUCCCCCUCCUCAUAGUAUAGGAAGCUAUCGUAUCGAAAAAAAAAAAUUACGAUGGUGGAUAACGUGCACGCACCCUUGUAAAUUACCUAUGGUCGCGAGUGCGUAUCUCGACUUGCAAUGAUGACUAGAACUAAAACUACCACCCAAACUUUUUAUUAUUAAAAAAAAAAUAGAAGAUUUUUUUUUUCUUGUUCCAUGUUGUUAAUCUAAGAAUUAAUGUAUUAGGUAGCAUUCCACUAUGACCUUUUUGGACAUGUUUUGAUAGGUCUAACGUUCAAAUGUGACUUAUCCCUUAAGCAUGUCUGGGAAUGUGCAUGAACCACCCCAAAAGUAGGCAGUGCUAACAAUAAUUUAGACUUGCAUAUUUAUCAUUACCUACUUUAUCGACACUCUCUACAAAAUUUUGAUACUUUCCCGUUAUUACCUUUUUUUGGCCAUUGUUAACAUUAAGGUUCCAAGCGUCCACACUUAAGAAAGGCCUUUCUAGUUCCUCCUAGUAUAUAUAUUUAGUAUAUAUUGUGUUCAAAGUUUUCUUCUGGUUGUUAAAAAAAAAAAAAAAGAAGAAAAUGAUCAAUAUGAAAUUAGAUUGAAACACGUACAUCUACAAUUUCAAAUCCAAAUAUAGGCAAAGAAUUGCUAUAAAAUUCGACCCUCAAAAAAUUUUCUUACAUCGUGCAAUUUCUUCUUGUUGUUCGCCGGAAUUUCCAUUUUCUUCCCAUCAGUCAGAGACUUUCCUUGUUUUACCCAGUUGAAUGAAAAGCAACCUUGGAAAUCCUUUUCCUUCUUGGGUAGCUUGGCUCUUAUAAUUCUUACACAUCCUAUAUAAAUGAAGUCCAGGCAGAGCAUAUCUUCUGUAGGAGCGAAACAUCCUCCAUCGGCAAUUAAAUUUAUGGUCCCAUAUCCUAAUAAUACUUUUUAAAACUUUAAACUGCAGGCCGACAAAGAACUCUUCUAGUGAGACAAAUAUUUUAUACUUGAGAGAAAUUGCAGUUUUGGGUUUUUGGUUCCAAAUAUUAAUUUGGAGCACGAGUGCUUCUUCUAGUCCCUAAAAUUUGGAGAAAAAAAAAAAGACAAAUGUAGUUCCAAAUGUUUCAAUCUCUAAGCAUAUUUAAUCCUAAUGACUGAUUUUUACCAAUUGCUACCGGAAUCCGUCAAGUGCUAGCUAUUACGUAUCAAAAACUAAUUUUUUUUUAAAGAAUUGAAAAAAAAAUUUGUGGCCAUAAUUAAUUUGUAGUAACAGAUGACUAGUUACUCGCAUGGUGAUCGAUCACGUGAGUAAUUAGUCUUCAGCCUAGAAAUACAAAAAUUCAAUCGACAAAAAAAAAAAUAAUUUAGUUUAGAGACUAACUGCUCACGUGAUUAGUAUAUAAGUAAUCUUUUAUUACAGUUAGCAAUAUUUCAUUGAUUUUAAAACUUUUUAAUAACUAAUUGUUGGCACAUGAAUUCCGAUAGUAAUUCAUCAGAAAAUCAUCAGAAACUCAAGAAAAUGGCGAAGUCGUUGUAAUUAUGUCAAGCCUGAUGGGAGGUGGAUGUAAUUUACCCUUGUCAUUAACUCACAGGUCACAGCAAUAAUUCGGUCCAAGGAAUAUGACAUAAUUGGAAAAAUAAGACAGAUGAGGGUAAUGUGCACCCACCCCCUUACCCAUAUCAUUACCUUUUCCCUUGGCCGGGAGGGAGGGAGGGAGGGGGGGUUUGCAAAUGGUCCCAUGUUUUUAGAAACACAAGAGUACAAAUGGGGUAUCCCGAUGUUGAAAUUUGAAAGCUCCACCGAUAGGGAAAGGAUUGGUAGGAAAUGGAAAGAGGGCUUUAAAAAACCCACUCCGACCAUUAAAAACCUUCUCAAAAUGGAAAACUCUAACCACCACCACCACAGCCCAAAGUCCUUUGCCCACUGUGGAUGGUUUAGUUGCUUUGGGACAAAAGCAAAAGCAUGGGACUUUCAUUGAUCAACCUUCAAUUCAAGAGCAAAUUAUCUCAGACGGUCACUAAAGUUUUAGAAUCGUUGAGUUUUGGUCAUUGAAUUAUUAAAAAUUAAAUUUUGGCCAUCGAACUAUCUAAAGUUUAAGUUUCGGGCCAUUCCGUUAGAUUUGAUCGCUAACUAUACCUUUUUCUUUUGUCUCAUAAAUCGUGCGGACACUCAAAUCUGGUAUAGUUAACGAUCAAAUCUAAUGGAAUGGCCCAGAAUCUAAAUCUUAGAUAGUUCAGUGGCUAAAAUUACACUUUUAAUAGGUCAUUAGUGAAAAUUCGAUGAUUCCGAAAGUUUAGUGGCCAUCCGAAUAAUUUGCUCUUCAAUUCAAUGUAGCAUAGUAAAAGAGACUAACUAUAAUUGUACCCUUCUACAUCAUCAGAAGAUAUUAGAUAUUAGUAUUAGUAGUAUAUUAUUUAUUUGAUAAAAAAAUUAUAUGAAUUUGAUUUCGAUCGUCACCACAGAUAAGAACAUAUCCCAGAAUCAUGCAUAGAAGUAUUGCGGCAGUACAUAUAUUGACAAACCAUAACCAUGCAUACAUGGACCAAGCUUUAUUCUCAUGCAACGCUAUACUUCAACAACAACAACUACUACUCCUACUGCCAUUCUUUUGCUGCAUGCCUUUCUAUUUUUACCAUUACUUUCCUACUUGCUGCCCUUUGUGGUUAAAUCUUUGCAAGUGGUGCUUUGUCGUAGGAUUUUCAUGAAAGAUGAAAGGGUGCAUUCUUAGUCAUUCCAAUUCAGUUAAAACUUUGGGGCCAAAUUUUGAACCAGUGCAUGUGACUGUUGUACAGUGGUAUUGUCUGUGUCAAUUAUUGCACUUGGAUUCAAUUUAUGCCACCGAAUUGAAAGGGCAGGUACGUACUAACCCGCUUUAUAUUCUCCUUUUUUUUUCUUUUUCCUUUUUGGCUUAAUUUGAACCGGGGAGUGCAGGCAGCUGAUUAAUUUGGUGAUUUAUUAAUAGUCUAAUCCAAUUUCCUUUUGUAAUUGGGCAGGAACCUGAAUUUAAAAAAUUGGAUAUUCAAUCUAGUUUGAUUGUUGUUGUUGUUGUUGUUAAUUAUACCACCCAAAUUUUAUAGACUAAUUUUUGCACAAAAUGUCAAACUUGCCCUUCUCAAGUCCAAUUGCAAUUAGAACUUAAAAGGGGUAGUCUUGUCAUUUUAACAAAAAUUGCCGUAGAAAUAAAAUGCGUGUUGUGUUGUGGCAAUAUAUUAUUAUUAUUUCCCAUGGAUCACAGUCAAAUUAGAGUUUACAGGAGGACAAUUUUCAAUAACAGAAAGGACUGUCCUUUUUUAAAAAAUCUCCACUCCCUAAUGUAAAAUUGUUGAGCUCUUUCACUGGUCGGAAAAUGGGUACAACAAAUUACAAGAGUUAAAAAAAAAAAAAACUUAACUGACGUCCACGUCUAAUUAAUAAUAAGCUAUUGAGUCUUGAUCGUGUUUUAGUACUUAGCUUCAAUCAGUCGACUUGUCAGAUUUGCCUAGCUACCUGGCUGGUUUGCACUUUACACCAACCUAUGAUCUUACCAUCCUCCAACAUGGGAUUGAUGUUGAAGACUGAAGAGGCAUGUUUUACAGUUUAAUCUUCUUGUCUAAAAUAUACCCCAAAGUAGCCUUUUCCAUCUUUAUCUGGUGAUAACUUCGACUCUAAACAAAAUCAACCAUCUGUAAUUAAUCAAAUUGGCAAAGCAUGGUAUAACUAGAAGUGGCAUAGCUAGAAACAAUUUUUCUAAAUAUUAUAAUCUCCGUUUCGAUUAGCUGUUUUUUAGGAUGUUUUUGAAAAAUUUUACUGCAGCAAAGUUUUUAGAGUAUAUUUUGGGAUAUUUUUAGAAAAUAUUUUGAAAUAUUUAAGAGUGGUAGAAUUUUUAAAAUAUAUUUUAGGAUUUUUUUAAACACUAAAAAAAUUUUAGACUACUUUUUAGAAUACCUUUUAGAGUACUUUUUACAAUUUUUUAUAGUAUUUGAAAAAAUAAUUUUUGAAAAACUAGAGGAUGCUUGUAUCACAAACACAAUUUUCAACCGCAUUUUUCUAAUCCCGUUUAUCUUUUUAUCUUACACGCAUCACAUCAUAAAAUGUGUUAUAUUGUUAGGUUAAAUAAUUUUUACAAACAAUCUCCUAUCCAAUGAUGCCCUUUUUUUUCGGUGACAAAAUCUCUUAAAUGACCUAUGUUUGAUGAAAUACACACUCUAUUAUCAUGAAUUUUCACAUGAAUAGACAUUUUAUGACUUUUUAUCCACUGUCCUUGACCUUUUUUUUUUUGCCUUUUUGGUUGGGGUAAGUACUGUUGUUGGAUCAUUUAUUGGAUAUUCAAAUCGAAACACAUUUUCAUAAACCUGAACAGACAAAGAAAUGUUUUUACAGCAUUAAUGUUUGUAGUACAGCGACAUGCUAAUUGAAGAAGUUAGGCUUGCCGAAAAUAUUAAAUUUCUUCAACUAAAAAUCCACAUCUUGGCAGAAAAACAUUCAAGGAUGUCAUUUAAUAUCAUGCAUAUAUUCUGUACCCAAUCAAGAGCCCCAGGCCAGAUGAUGAUGUUAAGAUGUUAUUUUUGCUUCUCAUCUUAAAGUUUCAUGGGGCACCAGAUUACCACAGCCUAAUUAUGACAACGCAAGUGACAGCUCUGCUUUCCCAAUUCUGGAAGCAAUGAAGGCAUCCGAUUAUUUCGUAGGAGAUUAAGUGUGUAAUUUUGAAGACGACAGCAGAAAAUGAAGAGCUUAAACUGGCUACAUCCUAGUAAGGCAACAAGAUGCUUCUUCUUUUCAGGGUUCAACCAUAGUUAUUAAACCCGGUCCGUUAAGGAAUCCAACAGAGGGAUUGGGUCACUGGUUGAACCGGUGAGUAUUAAUUUAAUAUUUAUAAAUAUAAAAUAGUAAUUUUAAUAUGUAUAAAAUAUAUAAUAAAGUGCUUUUAGAUGCUAAUUAUUAUACUUAGAAAGAUAUAUAAUUAAUAUAUAGAUAUUAAUAGAAGAUUUAAUUUCAUUUUAUCGUACUUUUAAAUAAAUAAAUAAUAUAGUCAAGUAUAAAACAAAAUUUAUAUCGCUUUUGUCAAAAAAAUAUAGCAUUAUUUUUUAUUUUUUUAUUUUUUAUUUAAAAACAAAGUAAUUUUCUAACUAAUCAAAUAUUGUCAGUUUAAAAGUUAAAAGGAUUAAUUGUAUAAUAGAAAAAUAAACAAGUUUAUAAAAAAAAUAUUUAGUUAUCAAAUAAAAGCUAAGUAAGUGGUAAAGUCUAUAUACAUUUAAAUGAAGAUCCAAUGUACAAAUCUUAUUGAAAGCAUAUAUACAUUUUGUUUAAAAAACAAAGGCCCACAAUUAAAAAAACAUGUAAAUUGGGUCAAUUAAAAAAUUGGAAGGAUUCGUUGUUGAACCAUUGGGUCAACCGUAUUUGUCCAAGUCAAUUGCUCGUCUGGUCAAACUAGAGACUUGGCCUGAUCGAAUGUCCGGAUCACGGGGCUGACUGGUUCAACCGUCGGACUUGAUCGGGUUUAAUAACUAUGGGUUCAACUGAAAAUGUAGCUUUAAAAAGGAAAAUGGAGAAGGCUUUUAGAGUUGAAUUAGAAGCCUCGUCUUUAUCUAACUAAUGCCUUCGCCCUCCAGGGCUUGGUCUGGUGGUUGAGGUUGCUGAAAAUGGAGUCUUAGGUCCCUGGUUCGAACCUUGCUGCUAGCAAGUUGUGGAGGGUGGGGAAUAGUCUGCGGGGUCCACUCCCUGCGGGACACCCCUAAAAAAAAAAAAAUCUAACUAAUGCCUUCACCAACUGAACUGGGUUUUACGUCAAAAUGCUUUUCUUAUAGUUAACGGAAAAUGAGUAAUAUCUAAGCAAUUAUAUCAGACAACAAUAUGCUCUUACUAUAGUUCACACGAAAUAGAUUGGUUAUUGCGUUAAAUUUAGUAACUGAGAAUGAUUUUUAUGCAAUUUCUUAAUUUUUCAGUAAUUAUAUGUGUGACUUACAUGAAAUAGUCAUAAUAGCUAAAUUUACUGAUUCUACAAUAUCAAGGCACAAGCAGGGGCAACAAGAUUUUCAAAAUAUACGAUAUACUCGAAGCUUGAAUUCGUGAUCAGACAAGGCGUUGUAGCGUUAGCUCUGAAUGUACAAGGCAAAAAAGAGUGAUAUCAUAAGUUACAGUAGUAAAUAAUUAGCACCUAAUCAAUAACUGCCAACAAUUGAAAGAAUUUACCAACAAUAAAACUUUCAUUUAUUUCCAAAACAACCCAAUUAUGUUUCCCUAAUUCCUCCCACAAGCAUUAUUAGCUGGCAUGUGGACCUACUGAUACAGUACUGGUGGUUCCAAUGUUGCAUGCGAUAAAUCAAAAUAAAAUACAGUAUCAGUCAAGAUAUGCUCCCGAAAUUAUACAUCGUUUAUAGGAGUUUUUACAUAUCGUUUACAAUCUUUACAUCGACAUUAAUGGGAUUCGAAAACAUGAUUCUUUAUGAGGAAUGACCGUCGUUAUCAACUGAUCCAACUUAUAUUAGCACGAAAAUUAUUCUUUAAUGCUAACAAAAGAACCUCAUUUAUGUCAUGUUGAUGGAGGUUGACUUCCUCUAAAUUCCUCAAGGUUGGGCAAAAAAGGUGUUCGUCUAAAGGUGAUUCUUGAAAAUUAGUGAUUGGAGAAUCAUUUCCAGAAAAAAAAAACUUAAAAUUAAAAUAAGCAACUUCUUAUUUGAAUGGAGCAUUUGUAAUGUCGAAGUCUUACAUGCAACCCCAAUAGCGUCAUUAGAUUCUGCCAAACGGACCUUAGGUUUCUUUUGCUCUGCUAUAUUCUGAAUUCUUCGUAAAUUGCUUGAAUCCUCUAAACAAAAUUAUACAAUGGCUGAUAUUGCACUAUUCCCUUAUAAAUCUUUUCAAAUUUUAAUUAGUAAAUCUGAGCAUGAAAGUCCAAUAAGAAAAAAAAAAAAGAAGACAAGAAACAUACACUUACAACAAAGAAAACAAAGAAAAAAGAAAGAAAAGAAAAGUCAUAUGGAGAUAAACGUGCAAAGGGGUAUAGUCAUUUCAGUGAUAAAAGUAGAGGGAGAGCGCAAUUGAUGUAAAAUCGCAUUGUCUCAAUGUCUAUGCCUGAAUUCUGAUGUGCCCACUGGCCCCUGGGUUGGGUUUGACAAGAAGAAGGACGAAUUUAAAUUUAUCAUCACCAUUGCCUGAGGAGCUCCCCCUAGGACUGGGGCCACAUCACACGUCCAUCUAUUCACCUGGGAUACAUAUUUAUACCGCAUCAUCCAUCCACCAUUCAACUAGAUGCAUUUUGUGCAAUGUCCAGUUAUUUUUUUCUGAUUUUUUUCUUUUUUUUUCUUUUGUAGAAAUGUCAAAUGAUCUUUCCGGCUUUCAUCGGAGCUUUUAACGAGUCGAAUGCUUGGCGUUUAGAUUCUAUUUGUAUAUUAUACAACAAGGUUCUAGUUCGAUCGAAUAUUAAAUAAAUUAUAAAUAUUGUUCGAAUUCCAUUUUUAAUUUGUAUAAAUAUUCGAGUUUGAAUUCAAAUUGUGCUCGUUAUAUUGAACGAGAUGGCUCUGAGCUCAAGUUCUAGCUUGAAUUUGAGUUUGAAAAUUAUUUAAUUAUACCUUUCUAAAAAUCAUACAUGAUUUGGAAUAAAUUUAUUUAUGUUUCUUUGUUUCAGAAAAUAAAUAAUACUAAUUUAUGUAUAAUUACAUAUUUGAAGAAAAUACAAGAUAUAUAUACCUAUAUUUAUUAAUUUAAAACGUACUUAUACUUAUGUUUAAUUAUUCUUUAUAAUUAUCUAUGUAUUCACGAAUCUAUUCGAAUAAUUUCGCAAUAAAUUUGUGUUCGACUCGAUUAUCAAACAAGUCUAAUAUCAUGCUUAAAAUUCGAACUUAAACGAGCCAAAUCAAACGUGCUCACGAACCAUUUCUUACCCUUCCUUGCCUCACUGGCAUGUGAUGAAGGUUUUUUUUUUUUUUUUGGGAAUGGAUAAGAUUCACAUGUGAGUUUUUCCAAGAUUUAAGGAAGCAAGCUAAUAUUUUCAUAAACAAUUUUUUUUCGCAAUAAUAUUUUAAGGAUUUUUCUUAUAGAAUGAACUCUAGUUAUUACACUUAAAUUAUACCUAACUGACAUGUAAAUAUACGUAAUUACAAUUAUUACAUUAUCUCUAAUUUAGACACUUUCUUAGAUCAAUUAUACUUUUUCAAAAAAUUAACACCUAAAUCCUUUUUAACGAGUGCCGGUUGGGUAUUCAUUAGCCAAAUCGAUAUUUUAAAUCAUUAGAAUCCUGGAAAGAAUAAUUAUAUGAUUAAUUCAACAACUGUGGCAAAUUUUGUUAAGCUUACCCAGAAUUAAAAAUAGAUCAGCAAACAAAAGAACAUUGCCAAUGUCUUUGAAGCCCAAAAAGAAUAACAUUACGUACCAAGCUUUUGCUAAGUCUAACUUUAUUUCUAGAAUUCCCCCAAGAGAGGAAAAAAAAAUAUUAGCCCAAAAAAAUAAUUCUACCAAAUAAUCAACAUUUCAGACUAUGUAGAAAAGUCUGAUCACAAGUCCUGGUUCUAUCACCUACUUAUGUUAACAAAAUAUUUGUCGAAUUACUUUCCUACGGCGAAUAAGAAAAAAGUACUGCAGUCUUUAUUGUGGAGCAUAUGUUUUGUUGAAGUAUAACGAAUAAGAUCACAUGGCUUUGAAGGUUGCUUUUUUAUUUGCUUAUUGCCGAAUAUCAUUUUUGAUCUUGACGACACAAGCCUUAUUGUCGUUCUAAUAUCUUUUUUUUUUUUAAUUAUUGUAAGCUAAAACCUUUCAUUCUUCUGUAUACAACCGAUAAUGUAAUGUUCAUAUGUAAUGGAUUCAAAUCUUAAUAUGUUCAAACUCGUAUUUGAUAAUCAAAAUUUGAACAUAUGAAUUAAUUAAUUAUCCUUGAAUUUUCUAGGUAAAACUUGCUCCCAAAAAUAAAUAAUAAACUAUUCACUUAUUACUGAAUGUGAUAUACAUUCAAAUGUAUUUGAUUUAAUGAUUAAUAAUUCAAUAAUUUAAUGAAUUCAGAUUUCAGAUUACAGAUUUUAAAUUUCAAUUUUCAAUCUUUAGUUUUAUCAAACGUACCGUGAGUCCCUUUUUGCACUUAUGGGUACUUGUUCAAAUGAAGGUUACCAAGUUUCUUCUCCACGUUUCGGGCACUCAGACCUAAGGAAAAUGGAGUUAGGGUACAAGUUUUUGUUUGGGUCAACCAAAUUUAUUAAUAAAUAGACUAAUUAACUCGUCCCCUCAACUAACUCAUUGUCCCAAGCAUCGCGCAUGACAUUCACUGCAAGUGAGCGAACUAGUAAAAAGAACAUUUUGCCUUUCAUUUUCUGUUUGUAGAGAUGCAAAAAAUGAUUAACAAGGAUAUUUACGACCUCUUGAGUAUCAGAAGAGAAACGAGUCUAGUCAAAUCGAACAUCCUAUUUAUUUUAACGAAAUUAAAAUUUUGUUCAAAUUUAGUCUAUUUAUUUGUCAAAUCGAAAUUGAACGAGAUUUUUAUCGAUUUUAAAAGUUGUCGAACAUAAAACGUCGUUCAAAUUUGAUUUGACUAGUUGGCGAACUAAGUUGGAACGAACUCUUAUGAAGUUGAACUUAAUUCGAGUAUCAAAUAAUUUGAUUCAUCUUUCAUCCUUGCCAGAUGAUGAAAUUGACUAGAGAUCUUGUGGUUUAAGGGAUGCCCUUCCCUGAAUAAUCAAAUUUAUACCAACAAUUAGAAAGGAACGCAGCAGAAUAAUACUCGAGAACUUUGUCCCGGGUCUUAUGAUUCAUCCAUGUACCAGGCACCUAAUUUUUGCAGCUUCAAAUUAAUGAAAUAUCAUUCCAGUUGUUAGCAUUAUAUAGAGCUUAAUAGAUCAGAUUAAACACACUUCAGAGAUACAAACUGGAAACUUAAGAUUUGGCAUAUUGGAUGCAUUUGCCAGAUUCGGAAGAAGCACAGUUAAUGUGGGUUUCAAAACAAAAAGAAUGAGAAUUAAAUUUCAAUCAUACUCGUGAAUAAUAAUAUUGGUUUAACAUCAAUUGGUAUUAGUGAAUGGCUUUCAUGAUUAAUCAAGUAUUAAAGAGUAGAAUUUCACUUAUCUAUUAUUCUUUAUUAUUAAAUCAACUACUGUAAAGUUAGGUUACCAGAUGCUAUAUGGAUUUUUAUCAAACCUACUUAUUUCCUAAUUUAUAUACUCAUAGUAAUAGUGAUUAUAAAAUUUGAAUCAAACUGCACCUUAGAUAGUAAAUUUUCGAACUUAUAUGCACAUGCACUAUGUAUACGUUUGGUAGUACUUGCACUAUGUAUACGUUUAACUACUAAACCAAAACUUCCUCGUCAUAAAGAACCUUUUUUUUUUAAAGAGGAUUAAACGUGAUUUUUCACUUAUUCCCUUGAUGAGUCGAUCCCGUGGCCUCUCAAUUAAUGAAGCAUUUUACCAACUAAGUCGCACUUCAUUGAUGCGGCACUUGAUGAUCGUCUAGAAAGGUGUUGAAUAUUUAUGUGGUUAAUGAGAAAAUGCUCAACUGCAUGACUUUUGGUGGAUUGGUCUGGCAAAGAAUUUCCUUUAUGUGUUUCAGCUUUCAAACAAAGAUUGAGCAGUUGUAGCAUUUUUCACAUCGAAGUCUAGUUGAAAUUUGAAAGAGAGGAACAAACUUCAUGCCAGCCAUAUAUAUAUUUCGGACUUUGACCGAAAAAGGUUGUUCUUCAGAUCAGCUGCAUGAUUUGAUUAGGCAGGAUGACAAUUAACCUUAACAGAAAUUCAGGUGUUUCCAUAAUCUCUUGUAUUUUCUUGAUAUGUACGGACAUGUUCCAACAUCCUUAGCCACGAAUUGAGGAUAUUUAAUUUUAGUUAGUGGCCACAAUCCAGUUUAUACUUUAUAUCAAGCCAAAUUAGUGGUCCAAAUCUGGAAUCAUCCUUCCACACCCCUUCCCCUCCCUUUUUUUGUUUUUGUUUUUGCAUGGGAUGGCUCAAUGGUAAAGUUUUUCCUUUUUUUUUUUUUUUGAGAAGUUCAUAUUCAAACGUGCUAAUAGCAGUUCCCAGUUAACAAGCAAUUUGUAAGACUAGAAGUAAGUCUCUAAUUAGUAAUUAGUGGCCUGCAUCGACAUUAGGUAGAGUAACAUUUCCUUAUUUUAAACUUUCAGCAAAAAAAAAAAAUCCUAAAACAGAAAUAACUCCACCAAAGCUGGAGACUGUCUUUCAACAAUUAUAUCAAAUUUGAAUCUAUCUAUCUCCCAAAUUUUCAUUCCUUUUUGGAUGGCUAAGUCUUUUAUGAGAAAUUUUUAAGAAACAAUCUAUUGCAUUUUUCAGGCACUUCUUUUUAAGGGGAGGUGUUUUGGUAAAAUGCAGAGAAUUAAAUAAAUAUAAAAAUUAUCAAACACCUCAUUGUCUCACGUUCAUGAUUUAGAAAAAGGGGCUAAAAUUCUCAACAGCUACUAAAACUAUUGCAUGCCCACAUUGACUUAUGACCAUCAAACAAUUUUUUGUCACAAAUUAACACUAAACUAAGUAAUCAGUACACCCGUUGCCAUUUUAUCGAUUAUUACUCUUAAUCUACAAAAUAAUCAGAACACGUGUCCAAAUGUAAAGGUGUAUUUGUCCACCAUGAGUUUUUUUUUUUGUCAAAACAUGGUUAUGAUUAUUUUAUAGAUUAAGAGUAAUAAUCGAUGAAAUGGUCAUAGAUAUGCUGAUUAGUUAUUUUAAUGGCUAAUUUAUGACAAAAAAUUGUUUGAUAGUCCAUUCGGGCAAUAGUUCAAUGACUACUCAAAUUUUUGCCUAAAAAAGGCUAAAAUAAAUAUUAAAAAUGUUAUUUGCGCUCUUAUUUUUUGUUAAUCAUACUCUUGCUAUUAUUUUAAUCAUAUAAUUAUCAUUUAUUAGAUUAUAUAAUAAAAUAAAUGGCAAAAGCGCAAAUAAUAUUUUUCUAAAUAUUUUAUACAUGUACCCACAAAAACGAAAUAAUUACUCAGUCAAAGACACAAAGUAGCUCACCCUACUCCCCACAAAAGGGGAAAAAAAUAGCGCAAUGACUUAGGCGCGUGAGGGUGACUUUGUUACCCCCCAAAACUGGAGUUUAUACUGCGGUAACAAAGAGCAAAAUUAAAAGAGCAAAGUUAUGCAGAAAAAAGGAGAAUUGUAUAGAAGAAAGAAGUGGCAGUACACUAGCUGGUAACUGCACCAAAUUGAGUAAGAUUUUCCUUUUACUCUUUGUUUUUUCACAUGAAGAAAAGGUAGGCAUACAUAUGUACACUAAGGAAUCCAGAAAAGAAACAAAAGGUUGCAACUAUUGUAAAAGAGAACAAACACUAACAAAAGAAGAGAAAUUAUUGUAGGUUUUCCAUUUUCUUGUAAGAGAAGGUCCAAGAUUAAAAAUCUCCUUCUGCUCCACCAUUUAUAAGGAGGGAGGAAUUUUCAGUACUCGCUAGCUACCUUUAUUACUUCAGUUCCCCAUCUAGCUGGCUACCUCCUCUUCCUUCUGUCUAUUUUAUCUAUUCUCAUCCCAUUUAUGCACAUGUACAAACUCCUGUAGAUAAUACUUCAGUGCCCCUGGCCUCUCCAUAAGACAAUAUAUAUUCUCUUCUCUUCACAUCCAAGAAGACCAUCACACUUUUUCCUGGCUGCUUGCACGCACACACACACACACACACACGCUUGCCAUUCAAUCAUAAGUUUUUUUGUAGAAACAUUUUCAAGGGGAAAAAAAAACAUGGGAAGAGGAAGAGUAGAGUUGAAGAGGAUAGAGAACAAGAUCAACCGUCAAGUGACUUUCUCUAAGAGAAGAAAUGGUCUGCUCAAGAAAGCUUAUGAACUUUCUGUUCUUUGUGAUGCUGAAGUUGCUCUCAUCAUUUUUUCAAGUCGCGGCAAGCUCUACGAGUUCGGCAGCUCUGGGUAUAGAUGAUAUUCAUAUAUAUAUAAUAUUUGUGUUUACCUUUAUUUCCUUUUUGUGUAUGUCAGAAAAGCUUCAUGUUGAAGAUUUUGUUUUCCUUAAAGAACCCAAUAUACUACUCUCAAUAACCCAUCAUGAAAGACACAUUUUGUUUUUUUUUUUAAUUCUUCUUUGUUUCUGCAUGUUUGUUAUUUUAGUGCAAAGAGGAAAGGGCAAGCCCCGGUGGUCAGAUUCUUAUGAAACUGCAGUUCUUAUAUGUGGGCUUUGCUGCUUUUUGAACCCCUUGAGUUCCCUUUUUCUCGUUGUUUUCGUUCUGUUGUUGGGUUGGGACUUUGAAGGAUUUUGUGAGUGUAUUUUUGGUUUGAGGUCCAACGAGAGAUCGACACGUUUCAUGGUCUCUGAGAGAGUUCUCUCACGAUCAUCAUCAAUAUUAGUACAAAGGUGGAUGGAUGAAUGGAUCAGACUUCAGAGAGAGAGAGAGAGAGAGAGAGGUGAGAGACUCGCUUACGAGGUUGUAGUUGUUUUUUGUUUCCAACAUACUGCAGAGACUUCUCCAACCCUCUUGGAUCCCUGUGCAAGAUCUAGGGUUUCUCUUCCUUUUGUUCUUGUUCUUCCCUUUUCUGUAAUAUCCCUUUAAUGCUUCACCAGAUAUUUCUGCAGUAACACUAAAAAGAAUGGUGCUUUUCUUAGUCCAUUGGACUCGAGCACGCCUUCACUCACUUUUCAUCCUUAGAUCUUGUGGUUCCAUUACUAGACUUUGGGGUCCUUUUUUUGUACACACAUAUAUCUCUUCCAUCAUUGCUUUACCCAUUAUAACUUCAAGGAAAUGCCUAAUAUCUUCAUACAAGCCAUUGCACUGGAGUCCAUAUCAAAAAAAGGAUAAUUAAACAAGGGUUAAAAGCCCAAAAGGGUUUGCUUGGAGAGUUAUCAGUAAUGUUUGAUAAUGUUGCGUUAUUAGCCAAAGCCUGCAAGAAGAUAAGUUCAUUAUUUUGACGCAGUUUUUGCUUGUAAAAGGUGGGGGUUUUCUUUCUUACUUCGUUGCCUGUGUCUUGGCCUUACAUAUUCAGCUAUGAUGCCCUUUUUGUUGCAUAAUUUGGUGAAACUUUUGAGUGUGAAAUGUGGGUUUUGCUUAUUUUCUCAGUUGCAGCAGGGACCAUCUGGGCUCUCAUUCUUUGCCAUACAUGUUCUUUUGUGUAACUUUGCUUUGAGUUCUAUCUGGGGGAAUAGGGCUCUCUCAGUCAUGAUUGCUUUAGUUUAGACAUUUUAGUGAAACUUUUAUCUUUCUACUGGCAAUGCUGGGAUUCUUUGCUUAAAUGACUCAGAGUUGUGCUCCCAGUCAAGGUUUCCUUUUCUAUGCAACAAUUGUUUUCUUGUUUCUGCUUGUUAUGUUUUUAACCCUCAAAGUAUCUUUUCUGCAGUUAUUUAUUCCUCAGUCUAUCUAAUUAUCUCUACUCCCUUAACAAGAAAACCCGAAAAAGAAAAGAAAUCUCAAGAUCUACAACGCUUCAGAGUCUUUUAAUUAUUUGUUUUUGAAAGUCUAAAAAAUUAGAGAUUGAUCUUCCCUUUUCUUUCAGUUGGUGAAGUUUCCCAGAGAUACUUUGAAACAGUAUGUUCUUUGCUUCAGCAUUUAGGUGCGUUGAUUUAUACAGCGAAAAAAUAAUGAUAAAAAAUUGAAUACGAAGACCCAAAAAAAAAAAAAGAAAGUGUUUUGAAGUAUAUUAGAGGAGCUGUAACAGUAGAAUUCUGAGCUCGAACUUCUAAGCCUUUUCUACGUGGGGAAAGAUUGGAACUUUGAGAAGUAGAGGAUCUCAGGAUUUUCAGAAGGCGGAUCUGGUCUAAUCAGACCAAAGUUGCUCAGAAAAUGAAGGACAUCAUAGCCUUCUGUCUUGACAGCUCAAAUGAUGCUUGACUACAAAAAUUUCUUGUCCAUCUAUCUUCUUUGCAUCUGCUUCAAUAUUUGACGAAUUUGGAAGUAAUUCUUCUUUUUCUUACUUAAAUUCUCUUUUUUUUUGUGUUUUUUGUGCAAUUUCUUUUCUUUCUCAUCCAUCUUAUGCAUCAUUUAACCUAGAUUUAUCAUUUUUUUUAAAUGAUCAAUAAUGGUUCCUCGCUUGCUCUCAAACUAUGUUCAUAGUUUUAUGCAAUUAAAAUGUAUUGAUUUUGAGUCUUCUCUUUACCUUUUAUUUUCUUGGGAAUGCCCUAAUCAAUUGGCAGGCAGGAGUGCACCUUUAAUUGCUGCAUAAAUAAUGGUAUUAGUAAGUUGACAGAUUUAAUUAUCUAUGAAAUUGGCAUGCCUGUCAAAUAUUGCUAUGACUUCAUAAUUACUAGAUUUAAUUACUAGUAUUUUACUUGCUAUCUAUCUUUCUUCCUUUUUUCUUGGCUCAUGUCCUCCAGAACAUCUUGGACAACAGGAUCUAAUUCGUUUUGCUAAAACAAGAUCCAUGUUGUGUAAACAUUCAUAUGGUAAAAUUUGUCACUAGAUGUAAACAAAAUUCUUCAAUGUUAUUAUCGUGGAAUAUCUUCACAUAUGUGUUUAAAUUUUUUUUUUUUUUUUUUUGGGUAUAGGUUUUGUCAAAAUUUGCUUCUUGUCGUGCACCUACAAGAAGGAAUAACUUUGCCUAUUUAAGUACAAGAAAAAUGAAAAAUCUAGUGUUUUUAUGCACAUAUUAUAUAGACAAGCCUACAUGAAAGUUGCAAGGUGAUUACUUUAAUUGCAAUACUAACUGGAAGUAGCUCUAGAAACAAUUUGAUUGAGGCCUAUAAUAUUAGCAUUCUUUUAUCUGAGAAUGAAGCGCUCAUGUAGUUGUCCUCCGUGCAUAAUAAAAAUUGAGAGCUUUAGGUUUGGAGUUGUGCAUAAGGUGAAAAGAUCUGAAAGAAAGAGAAGGGAGAAUUAUACAAAGAUUCAUCCAAAUACAUUUACCUUCUGAUGACGGCAUAUUGAUAUGAAUACAAACUAGAUUUUUUUUUUUUAAAAGCUAAUUUGCUAAAGUCAAUAGCCUAUAUAUGUAGCUUAAAUUUGCAUUAGGGUUGACAAUACCUGUUGUUUGUUCUAUGGGUUGAGCAGCUUAUAGAAAACUAAACUUGCAAGAACAAUAUUUGAAUUUCUGUGGUCUCUGACUGACUUAGCAUCUUAAUACAAGGACCUUUAGCAGAAGUUUUGCUUCUCUUUUUGUUCUUUAGCUUCAUCAAGUCUUGGCCUUGCUCCAAAUUUUGUAUCUGCUUUCAUGUGUUAUAGUCACUGGUAAUGAAAAUUAGUUUUUAAACAAGCUCCUAAAGUUUAUGCUCUACAGAUAAAGGGCUGAAGUGAAAAUGAGUUAACUCUUCUUAUGUAUGCUGGUGAUCUCUCUCGAUGUGUUUCUUUUUUCUUUCUAAUUUUCUAUAAAUCCCUCAAAGAUUUAAAAAGUAAGAUCAAUUUGCUAUAUAUUGUUUCUUUUCAUAGUUUAGGGUAGAGAUAGCAGCUGGUAUUUGGUGUCCUGUGAGUUGCCAUGCACAGAUAGACAUGACAUAACAAAUUAUGAACCACCUUAUUUCCUCUUUAAAUUUGCAGGAUAACUAAAACCCUUGAGCGAUAUCAACGUUGCAGCUUGAGUCCUCAGGAGAAUGCUGCUGAAAGAGAAACACAGGUUUUUUUUUUUUAUAACUAUGCAGACAUUCAACAUUGCAUCAGAUUCAGAGAAACACAGGUUUAUCUGUUAAGUUAUAGUAGCGACCACAUUAAUUAUCAUGAAAUAUGAUCCAGCAACACGUUACUCCAUGUGAAUCAUUAAUUGGACGCUCCAUGCCUUACUGUUUAUCCAAAAUAGAGCGUUUUUGUGGUCCUAGAGUACUCUUUUUCUUGCAAAUCUAGUAACUUUUUCCUUGUUUUGACAGAGCUGGUACCAAGAGGUCUCAAAACUGAAGGCCAAGUACGAAUCACUACAACGCGCUCAAAGGUUAUGCGUUUCUCCUUGUAUAAUUAAGCUCAUUAGUCCUUUUCCUUUAUUGCAGCCCUUGCUUCAAUUUCUUGGUAAUUACCUGAAGUGACAUAUAUAUUGACCUUUUUGUGAAUUCAGUGCACUGCUAUAACACUUGGUUUUACUAUCGACAGUUUGACUGAAUUUAUAUAAAACCUCUAUUUAUAUGGCAACUUCUAAAAUCAUAUUGUUAAUGCUUGAAGGCACCUACUUGGAGAAGAUCUUGGUCCAUUGAAUGUGAAAGAGUUGCAGAAUCUUGAAAAGCAGCUUGAGGGAGCUCUUCUCCAGGCUAGGCAAAGGAAGGUACUACUUACAAAGUGUUUGGAAUUACAGUUGCAAACCAUAAAGAAUUGAUCACAAAGAUGUGAUCACAAAGAAUUUCAAGCAGCCGAUUGACUCGCUGAUUUUAACUUUAUAACAUAGAUAAUAAUCCAAUUCUAUUUUUUUUUUUUUCAAAUUGCUUCAAGAAAAAGAACAUCAUUUAUAAUUGACUUGAAUGUUUGGAAGCUGAAACAACAAUUGUAAAGUCAAAAAGAUCAACAACAUAUAGUCGAUAUUUUUCCAUCUUUUUGAUGAAACAGGUCUUGUUUUUGUCAUCGUAUAGGACAUUUGCUGAAUACAUACAAAGUUGAUAUACAUGAAAUUAUUUUGUAAAUGUCCAAGAAGCUUCUACUCUUUCUAUAGAUACGUUCCUCUAAAUUUUACUUGAAUGUCGUCAUUCUCUCUAUAUAUAUAUAUAAACAGUAAGCUAUUUGGUGACUUGUCAUACUUCCUGCCAAUGAGAUUCUCACUGAUGCCAUUUCCCUCUUGUCCCCUCUAUAUAUAUAUGUAUAUAUUGCAGACUCAGCUAAUGAUUGAACAAAUGGAAGAGCUCCGAAGAAAGGUGAAAAUUAAAUUUUCUUGCUAAAUUAUUCUGAUUAUACCCUUUUUCUCUUUGAUACUUAAUCACUAGAAGUCUCUGAAGUUUCAAAUGUUUUCUUGGUCAAAAAAUGAUUUCCGACGUCGUUCCCUUAACCUAGCUAAAGGAAUGUACCGAAACUAAAAGGAAUCCACUCUUGAUACGUACAUGUUAACGGAGUUGACGCCUGAGCCUCCAUAUCAGCUAGAGCGACCCUAUUCUGCAUGCUGUCAAAAAAAAAAAACUGGAGAAAGUUCAAGUCUUUAAUUAGGUCAUAAACAUUUAAGAAUGUCACUUACAGGUUUUGCUAAUUGCUGUAAAACGGCCUAGUGAACAUGCAAGAUUUAGAAGCAUUUGCGAGGUCAAUUGAGUUUUUAUUGCAUGAACAUGUCCAAAUGGUUAUAAGUUGAAGUUGAGUGUCAUGAUAGGAAGCCAUGGAUGUGGCUUCUUUCAUUUCCUGCUCAUAUAUAUAUACUGGAAUUAUGCAAAAGUGUACCAUUUUAUGUGGUGGCAGGAGCGGCAGCUUGGGGACUUGAAUAAGCAGCUUAAGAUUAAGGUUUCCCUGGAAAUGUCAUCGGUAAUGAUUCGAUUCGAUUCGAUUCGUUCAUUAUGUGCACGUAAUAGGAUCCGUUAGCAGUCGGUCUGUGUUAUAUUACAUAGAAUUCAACAUUUUUCUUUCAUAUUUUGCAGCUUGAAGCAGCUGAGGGACAAGGCUUAAUAAGAGGCCUCCCUUGGCUUUGGAGUUCGAGUGUACCAAGUGGAAGCAGCAUGUUUCCUAUGCACACUUCUCACCCCAGUGCCGCCAUGGAUUGCGAUCCUGAGCCUGUCCUACAGAUAGGGUUCGUGCCCUUAAUUACGACAAUUUUCUCCUAUGUUGAAGUUUAGAACGGGAGGCAAUUCCUCAAAGCUCCUCAGUUCUUGAAAAGAAAAACAUCUGCAGAAUCAAAUCACUAAUUUUUUUCAGUUUUCUCUUGACCAACCAACAGGUAUCAUCAGUAUGCUCCGGCAGAAGGUCCUUCUGCCCCGAGGAGCAUGGCCAUUGAGAGUAACAUCAUCCAGGGGUGGGCUCUUUGAUAUCUCUUUGCAAAUCUUUUAUACGUUUGAUGCAAAAAACCAAUUCAAUGAUUUGUGCUUUUGGAUUUGAACAUGUUAAUCCCAUAUGAAACUAAGUACUUUAUAACUAGCUGCUUAAUUUUGUAUUUACAGAACUUGAAACUUACGCAUUUUGAUCUUUAUUGCAAGGAUUAUAAUCGCAUGAUGUAGACUGUUUGAAUCUUAACCUACCAUCUUUUUGGCCCUUGUAGAUAAAAUUUGCGUAUUUAGACUUCAAAAUUAUUGUCAUAGCAUUCUGCGAGUACGAAACCGUUUUUGCUCUCGAACAUUAGGACAGAAGAAAAGAAAAGGAAAAAAAAAAUCAAUAACUCAAUUUGGUACCCCUCAAUUAUUCAACUAUUCUCUCUUUGUACUCUAAAAAUUGUUAGUAUCUUAAGACAUUUUGUAUAUUCAAUUUGGAACCCCCACAUUGUACUGCUCGUUUUUAUUUUGACUACUUUUGAACCAAUUUUUACGAGUCAUUAAGUGUUGACCAGGAAAAGUUCAUAGGAUUUUCCUCAACUUUUUUUUAUUGGCAAUAAUAGAAGUGAAAAAUUCCUCGACACAACAAGGACUAACAAGCGCUGAAAGCCCAACUCUAUUAUAUGUAGGUUGAGCCCACUUCAUUGUGUUGAAAGGAUGGAACCAAGUAAGAGGGUUUAUAAGUCUCCUGCAGGAACCAUAAAAGUUGCCGGCUUUUGUGAUUUUCUGUUGGGUUAAGGUUUGUAAAGUUAUCAAAAGUCAUUUCUUGGCUUUGACAAAAAAGACAUCAGCCUUUCCGGGGUAAUUGAGAUCUCUUUAGGUUUUAGCAGUAGGUUCCCUGCAUAGGUUGAUAUCCCGCAUCGGGGUUGGGGGGAUUUGGGGUAGGUUUAUAAGUCUCCUGCAGGAACCAUAAAAGUUGCCGGCUUUUGUGGUUUCCUGCUGGGUUAAGGUUUGUAAAGUUAUCAAAAGUCAUUUCUUGACUUUGACAAAAAAGUAAGAGGGCUAUUUUUCUUCUUUUUUUUGUUUUUUGCCAGUUCCGGUAAUGAUUUUUGGUUAAAUUUGUCGUAAGACCGAAUUGAGUUGGCAGGGCCAUUAAUCAAAAUUAUUCAUUAAUUCUGACGUCAUUAGGUGCAUUCUCAAUUUCUCUUUUUCCUCCUUUUUUUUUUUUAACAAAUCCUACCAUCUAUCUCCUUUGCAUCGAAAAAGGAAAACGACUAGAUUUCCUGUAAUAUUUAUCUUAAUGUCACGUUAUCUUAAACAUUAGAAAUUUUGCAGAACGUUCUGCGUAAGUUCUAAAAUUCUGUGCCAGUGACUAGGGGACUAGGCUUUCCUCUCCAUUACACUCUAAUAAAUGUUAAAUUUGAAAAUUAGUUUCAAAAACCAAUAGCGUUCAUAACCUAUUUCAUCACUUGUGCUAGUCAUACAUCAAAUUUUGUAUUAAACUGACUAAGUUUUAUGGUUUAAUUAAUCAUUACAAAAUUUGUUACAAUUUUGACUCAUUUUUCACCGUUUAAACGUUUCGUGCAAAUAAAAUGUCAAAAGAUUAUCAUUUUUUAUACGUUGAUCUAGAGAUCAAAGUGAUCAUAAUAAUGACGACAUGAUCGGAUGAUUUUCUAAAAUUAUAAUGAUUUACAUAUAAAUAAGUGGUUAGAUCAAUGGAGAGGAUUAAUAUUUCAACCCGUGACUGAGCCUGAUAGCAGAAAAAUAAUUACGUAACACUAAGGAAAUACAUUUCUAAGCUUCUCUGAAAGGAGGAAAAAAUAUUUUGUAUUGGAACGAAUUUCUGGGGUUAUAACAUGUACUUGAUUAAGAAUUCCAUCGCUAUUAACGUGGGCCAAUUCGAUUAGUAUUUGAUAGUCCCUAUUUUAUUUUUAUUUGUGUAUGUGCAAACUCAAUCAUGUUUAUACUUGAACUGCAAACUGACUGGUUUGGAACGUUUUAAUCACUAGCUAUUCCCUUACUUUUGUUUGAUCAGAAAUAUAUGAGUCUCUACGGAGCAAUUUCCAAAUUCUAGUCGAAGAAAACGAUCUUGUUCUCAAUGUUGCAAGUGAAAGGAGUACAACAAAAAACGGGAUAAUCUUUAAAUCAAAAUCAGCAGAUAAAAGCGCCCAAGAAACCAAAUGAUAUGGUAGGGAAAAAAAAAGAAGAAGCAAAAACAGUGCCAGGAGAACCCCAAGAUUCCCGACAUAGUAGGCUACUAUCUGAAACCAGUCAACCUAGCACCCCAAUUAAUAUGACGAAUUCUGCGCCAUUUUCUCAUUUUAAUCUCAUUUUUUUGGUAAAUUUUUUUGUUACAUUGAAUGUAAGCAUCAUAUCCAGUUUCUGUAUUUUCCCUCUUCUUUUGCUGCUGCUGUUGCCAUAAUGGAUCGAUCUAACAAGGAGAUCAAACCGGGAUGUUGUUUCCCGGUGCGCCUGGAUCGGUCCAUGAGGCGCAGCUUCAAAUUUUCCAGGAGCUCUUCCUCUGAUAAAUUGAUUAAAGGUGGGUACUACUGAUAAUUCCCUCUUCAUUUCUUUGCACGCCUAUCAUAAUUUCGCGAGACAGUUAUUAAAUUUUGCGAUGCAUAAGUGAAAUAUGGUGUGACAAAAUGUACAAGAUUCUGGUGACAUGCAAAGGGUAAAAGUUGAGGCUUGUCAAGAAUGAUAUUAAUUAAUCUCUUCAUUAAAAUGUGAAUAUGUUGUGGUUUUAAUUUUAUCAGGUUCACCAAAGACUGGUGAUACACCAAAAUCGUGCUCAGGGGCACCAGUCAAGUCGCCCGGGCUGGUGGCAUGCUUUGGGGAACUGUUGAUUGAUUUUGUGCCAACAGUUUCUGGAGUCUCACUGGCUGAAGCACCAGGUUUCAAGAAAGCUCCAGGUGGGGCUCCUGCUAAUGUUGCUGUGGGAAUUGCAAGGCUUGGAGGCUCCUCUGCUUUCAUUGGCAAGGUUCCACAAGCAGCUCCAAUACUUUUAUCACUAAAAGUUCUUGAAAUUUUACUUUAUUGCCAACUGGCUCCUCAUGUGUUAGCUUUUUUUUUUUUCCUAGUAUUGUUUGCUUUUUUGCUUAGAUGCAUUAGAAUUGCUAUGGGUGACAGUGUGAGGCAUUCAAAUAUCUUCUAAUAGGAAUUCGAUUUUCCUAAAGAUCCUGGCUUUCGUACUUUGGUGGGGUCUAAAUCUUUUCCAUGACCUAUAUUAUGUUGAAAGCAUAUCUAUCUAAUCCGAUGAUCGGCCUGCGGUAGCAAUGGAACCGGGGAAAUUUCAUUUGAGGGAUUGCAAAGCAAUAGCUUGAAUGUUUAAGGGGGCUUCAUUGACGCACUGUUAUACCUCAGAGGGUUAAUAAGGAAAUCUCAGUAUUAGAAGAAGGCUGUAUUGUUGCAUUUUCAUGGUUUAAAGGUCUUAAUUGAAAAUAAUCCAUCUCGUUAUUUAAACAUCUUGUAUGUUUGCAGAAUUGUCAUUAUCUUUCCUUGUCAGAUAGGAAUUUUACAAACUAAUAAGCAAAAUGACAUGGGGUCAAGUCAAUAGAUCAAUCAAAUCUCCAUCAAACUGUUGAGUCCUUAGAUCAUUGCCUCGUUACUUUAGCAUCAGCAAGAAUAUCUGCUGCAAAUUUCUCCAGAAAGUUCGACUGUCAUGAACUGUUUAACAGCUCUGAGGUAUUGGACCUGUGGUGGUAACAAAUUAACAAUACAUGUUCAGGUGGGGCAAGACGAAUUUGGUUAUAUGCUGUCUAAUAUUCUGAAGGAGAAUAAUGUGGACAACUCUGGCAUGAGAUUCGACUCACACGCAAGAACUGCGUUGGCCUUUGUCACCUUAAGGGCUGAUGGCGAGCGGGAAUUCAUGUUCUUCCGCAAUCCAAGCGCUGACAUGCUUCUCACUGAAGCAGAACUCGACAAAGAUCUCAUCAGAAAGGUAACAUAUAAAUCAGGCUGGCUGCUUAAUUAUCUAGAAAUCAGAACAGGGCUAUUUCUGAACUAAUUGUUUCUUUCCAUUCGGAGCCUGAGAAUAAUCCUAACUGUUUUCAAAUCGUUAAAGAAAUUCAAGUCUGAUGUGCUCAUCUGGGCAACUACAUCUAAAGAUUUUCAGUUCCGCAAGUGAUCAUAGCUGGUGGAUACUCAAUUACGUUGGAUACACUUUUUUGUUUUUGUGGCAUCAUAGAUACGUUUUCCCAUCACCUUUUUAUAUUUUUAGUCAUUUUUUUAUCUUACAUACGUCACGUCAUAAAAAGUGUUACUGAAUUAUUCUGAAUUUUUUUUCGAAAUAAUCUUCAAUCCAAACACACUGAUACACUUUUGUUCUUUGCAGUCCUGCAUUUUUCACUACGGCUCGAUCAGUUUGAUUGAGGAACCAUGUAGAUCAACUCAUCUUGCAGCUUUGAAAGUAGCCAAAGAGGCAGGUUGCAUUCUCUCUUAUGACCCAAAUCUUAGGUUGCCCCUAUGGCCAUCAGCUGAGGCUGCUAGACAAGGCAUCAUGAGCAUAUGGGAUCAAGCUGAUGUUAUUAAGGUACUCCUAUCCCAUGUCUACCAAGAUUUUAGACUCAAGAAAUACACUAUUAAUUAUUUUAAGUACUACUAGUCAUGCUCAUUAUAUAUGGAGGAAUGCUAAUUUGAUUUCUGCAUCCAUUUUGGCGUCGCGAGUGAAUUUCAGAUAAGUGAGGAAGAAAUCACAUUCUUGACUGGAGGAGAUGAUGCUUACGAUGACAAUGUGGUGUUUAAAAAGCUUUACCAUCCAAAUCUUAAGCUUUUGCUUGUUACUGAAGGGCCAGAAGGCUGCCGAUACUACACCAAGGUUGGCCUUAGAUUAACCUCGGAUAUCUUGGUGAAAUGAAAAUAUGCAUAUAAAUCAUGUGCAAAAGAUUAUUCAAAAUCUUUAUGCAGGAAUUUCAUGGAAGAGUUCAUGGUGUAAAAGUCCAGGCAGUUGACACAACUGGUGCAGGGGAUGCUUUUGUUGGCGGAUUGUUGAACAGUUUGGCUACAGACCCUGAUUUGUACAAGGUAAAUAAAGCAGUAUUUUCUACAACCUCACUUGAUAAAUCAGGCUAGAAGAAGAAAAUCUGGACAAUGAUUUGGACAAAAUUUGGACAAAUAUCAGAUUUUUAUCAAGUAACAUAGGAUCAAAAGCGUGGUUGCCUAUCCAGAAAAGUAAAUAUAUAAAGAAAACAGAAAAAUAUAUAUGAUCAAAUAACAUAUAUAAAGAAUCGAAACCAAUUAUAUCAAAUUGUUUGCAAAAGCUGUACCUAUCAAGCGAUCCAAUAGAAAAAAUAAGUUGGCUGGCCAUGAAAAAGUGAUUGUGAAACAUACAGUUUCCCUUUUCAACUAUAUAUGCCUCGAAGGAGUACCAAUUGAUGAUUCUCAUCAAGACGUGUGGACAUAGGCCGAAUGGUGGUCAGGAAAAUCGUUCGGGCCGAUUUUAUGCAAAAUGCACAAAAUAUAACUUUGUAUGCACACGGUAUAAUUCACUUUCAAUAACAUGUAACUAUACAAUAAAAUUUUAUGAAUCCAACACACAGUGUGAAAAACGAUGUACAAGAUGCAGUCUGAACCUUACACAUAGUUAUAAAAAAUAUAGACCAUUAAGUGUUAUCAAAUCUUUGGUUUUGAUUUUUUCUCUAUUUUUGCAAUAAUGUAAUUUAGAUUUAUUUGGAGCAAUAACUAAUUAAGAGGGAAAUCUCACAUAUGAACCUCGUCAAAAUGGCCAAAUUGUUUCACUGAACAGAACCCUUCUUCUUCUUCUUUUUUAAGAAUGUUCAAAUUGUAAUGUACCCCAUGGUGCAUAGACACUAGUUCUUAAUUUUUGUUUUUUCCUUUCUGGCUGCAGGAUGAGAAGAAAUUACAAGAGGCCCUUUUGUUUGCCAACGGCUGUGGUGCAAUUACUGUGACUGAGAAAGGAGCAAUCCCAGCGCUCCCAACUAAAGAAGCAGUCUUCAAGAUUUUGGCUGCUGCUACUGCCUGAUGGAAACCCCUCAGUUCCAAGUUCUACUUCCAUAUUCUAAUGCAGCAGCCACAUCUCACAAAAUUUAGGCUUUUUUUUUUAUGUCAAAAUUUUGUCCGUCUUUCCUUCUUAUGAACCAAAUUGCUGCAUGAUUUGAGGUCCCCAUUUUGGUAUGUAAUGAAGCAAACUACUUGAAUCCAUUUUUUAACUUUUGGUAUGAAAUGAAGCCAAUAGUAGACUUGCAUUUUCUGCUGCAUUAUUUUAUGCUUCAUUUUGGAAGAUCUUGCAUUUUACAAAGGUGCUCUAAGUUUGACACUUAUCUUAAUGUAGCUAAUUACCUCUUUGCAAAGGUCCCGCUAAAAAGACUAAAACCAAUACUCCACUCUCUCUCUCUCUUGGAAAUGCACUCUUUUAAAUUUUUUUCCUUUUUUGGUUUAACUUUUUUAAGGAUAAAGAUCGGAUAUAUAGGCUAGUAGAGAAGAAGGGACAAAAAAUAAAAAAUAAAAAAAAGACCACUUGAAAUCUAUUAUUUUUCUUUUUAGAUAGAUGAUUUUUGUGAUAUAAUGUAUGUAAAAUAAAAAGAUGGUUGAAAAGAUUAAAAAAAAAGUGAUUGGCAAAUGUGUUUAUGGUACAACUAAACUAUAUAUAUAUUUUUUUUGUAAAUAAUCAUGUGUCCAAACAAACCUUUUUUUGGGUAAAUUACUUAUUACCCCCUUGUGAUUUUACUUAAUGUUAGAUGACUUCCCUAAGGUUGUAAAAUAGCCAUAUAACUGUCCUGUAGUUUUAUGUAAAGUGAAAAAUAGAGAGAAUGCACAAUCAGUUAUGAUGUUUAUACUAAACGCGCUUUAAAAGCAUGUGUGAUAAAAUUUUAAUAUCCACAUAAUUCCUUUAUGAUUUGUAUAAAUAUUCACUUUGUUCCCCAUGUGAUUUUUGUAUUUAUCCACGUAAUCUCUCUAUACUUUUAUACAACAUGAUUAAACCAUCAAUGAAUUUAGCAUUUAAGUAAGCACUAUUGGUAUUUCAACUAGCCACGUUACGUAGGUUAUUUUCCAUCAAAUUUUCGCUUUACACAAAAUCAUAAAGGAUAAAGUCGAUAUUUUGAAACGUUAAGGAGAUCAUGUGACAAUAAAUGAAACAACAAAAGGGUUACAUGUAACUUACCCUUUUUUUCUCUUUUUUUUUUUUUUAAAAAAAAAAUUUUUUUGGUUUAGCAGAACUCUAUACAGUAACACCUUAUUUUCUAACCAAAAGCCAAGCCAUGUCCCACAACAAAGUCAAAACACCUAAACGACCAAACUUGUAAAUGCCAUCAACCAUAUACAUCUCUACUUUUUACUUUGUUAGAUGCGUUUGAUAAUCAAAUUCAAUAUUUUAAUUUAAUAAAUUUAAAUCUUAAUAUGUUCAGACGCGUUUGAUAAGCAAAAAAAUCUGAAUUAAUUAAAUGACACUGAAUUUUCUAAAUAAAGUUUACUCCAAAAAAUAAGUAAUAAACUAUUUACUUAUCACUAAAUGUAAAAUACACUCAAAUGCAUUAAUACUUGACAAUUCAAUAACUUAAUAUUUCGGGUUUCGGGUUUAAUUUUUAAACUUCAGUUAUAUCAAACACACCCUUAAUCAGUUGACUUCGCGAAACAACCCUUUAAUUAAAACUUUUCUUCGUUGAAUGUACAUGGAUUCUUUAGUCAACCAGCUCUUAAGUUCACAAAGAAGAAAAGAGAAAAUUUUAAAGCCCAUUCAGUAGUGGCGAAAUAGAUAUAUUAAUACACCUCAGGGUAGACCCUGUGAAAGAUUUUCUUGAUCGUAUUCCAUUGGGAAUACGAUGCCAAAAUUAAUAAAGCUAACAACAAUAAUGCAAUCACAGGUUCGUUUAUCACUCUUGAGGCGUAAUAAUGCUCUCCGAUUCUUGCAUUCCACAGUCUAGCAGCUAUAGGCUAUUUUCAUAUUUGACAUUGAAACAAUCGUCAUAAUGAUA